rnacentral:rRNA from 1 species
GAUGAACGCUGGCGGCGUGCCUAAUACAUGCAAGUCGAGCGAAGCGGGGACGGGUGAGUAACACGUGGAUAACCUCCUAUAAGACUGGGAUAACUUCGGGAAACCGGAGCUAAACCGGAUACUUAGAGAUGGAUCCGCGCUUCAUUAGCUAGAUGUUAAGGUAACGGCUUACAAAGGCAACGAUGCAUAGCCGACCUGAGAGCGUGGUCGGCCACACUGGAACGUAGACACGUUCCAGACUCCUACGGGAGGAAGAGUUAGUGAAUCGUCCGCAAUGGUCGAAAGCCUGACGGAGCAACGCCGCGUGAGUGAUGAAGGUCUUCGGAUCGUAAAACUCUGUUAUUAGUGAAGCGGUACCUAAUCAGAAAGCCACGGCUAACUACGUGCCAGCAGCCGCGGUAAUUC